rnacentral:rRNA from 1 species
CCUACGGAUGGCUGCAGUGGGGAAUAUUGGACAAUGGGGGCAACCCUGAUCCAGCCAUGCCGCGUGUGUGAAGAAGGCCCUCGGGUUGUAAAGCACUUUCAGUGAGGAAGAACGCCUGGUGGUUAAUACCCAUCAGGAAAGACAUCACUCACAGAAGAAGCACCGGCUAACUCCGUGCCAGCAGCCGCGGUAAUACGGAGGGUGCGAGCGUUAAUCGGAAUUACUGGGCGUAAAGCGCGCGUAGGUGGCUUGAUAAGCCGGUUGUGAAAGCCCCGGGCUCAACCUGGGAACGGCAUCCGGAACUGUCAAGCUAGAGUGCAGGAGAGGAAGGUAGAAUUCCCGGUGUAGCGGUGAAAUGCGUAGAGAUCGGGAGGAAUACCAGUGGCGAAGGCGGCCUUCUGGACUGACACUGACACUGAGGUGCGAAAGCGUGGGUAGCAAACAGGAUUAGAUACCCCUGUAGUC